rnacentral:rRNA from 1 species
AGGACGAACGCUGGCGGCGUGCUUAACACAUGCAAGUGGAGCGACGAACCAGGGCUUGCCCUGGGGCAGAGCCGCGAACGGGUGAGUAACACGUGGGUUACCUGCCUUGAUGACCGGGACAACCCGAGGAAACUCGGGCUAAUACCGGAUGUGCCCGCAAGGGGAAAGGAAGCUUCGGCCUCCGCAUCAAGAUGGGCCCGCGGCCCAUUAGCUUGUUGGUGAGGUAACGGCUCACCAAGGCUUCGAUGGGUAGCUGGUCUGAGAGGACGAUCAGCCACACUGGGACUGAGACACGGCCCAGACUCCUACGGGAGGCAGCAGUUAGGAAUUUUCCGCAAUGGGCGAAAGCCUGACGGAGCAACGCCGCGUGAGUGAUGAAGACCUUCGGGUUGUAAAGCUCUGUCGGAGGGAAGAACACAAUGACGGUACCCUCCAAGAACGCCCGGCUAACUACGUGCCAGCAGCCGC